rnacentral:rRNA from 1 species
GAAGAUUAAGCCAUGCAUGUCUAAGUAUAAGCCUUUGUACGGCGAAACUGCGAAUGGCUCAUUAAAACAGUUAUAGUUUAUUCGAUAAUCAAUUGCUACAUGGAUAACUGUAGUAAUUCUAGAGCUAAUACAUGCGUCAGAACCCAACUUUACGGAAGGGUCGUGUUUAUUAGAUACAAAACCAACAUCUCGUUGGUGGAUCAUAAUAACCAAGCGAAUCGUCGGUUUACCGACGAUAGAUCGUUCAAGUUUCUGACCUAUCAGCUUUCGACGGUAGGGUAUUGGCCUACCGUGGCAUUGACGGGUAACGGAGAAUUAGGGUUCGAUUCCGGAGAGGGAGCCUGAGAAACGGCUACCACAUCUAAGGAUGGCAGCAGGCGCGCAAAUUACCCAAUCCUGACACAGGGAGGUAGUGACAAGAUAUAACAAUGCAGGGCAUAUUGUCUUGCAAUUGGAAUGAGUAGAUUUCAAAUCUCUCUACGAGUAACAAUUGGAGGGCAAGUCUGGUGCCAGCAGCCGCGGUAAUUCCAGCUCCAAUAGCGUAUAUUAAAGUUGUUGCGGUUAAAAAGCUCGUAGUUGAAUUUCUGCCAAGGACGACCUACCCACCUUAGGGUGCGUGUCAGUGUUGACCGAGGCAUCCUCCUAGACGUGUCCGAGCUUUACUGUUCGGUUCGUGCUAGGACUUUUACUUUGAAAAAAUUAGAGUGUUCAAGGCAGGCAAUCGUCAUGAAUACUAUAGCAUGGAAUAAUGGAAUAGGACUUUGGUUCAUUUUAUUGGUUAUUGAACCUUAGUAAUGAUU